GCUGCGUCAGGGCUGUGUCUGUUCAGUCGUCCGGCCCAGGAGAGACUAUAGCGUGUCUGCCGCGUCAGCCAGCAUAGAGGCUGUGCUUGGCUGCCGUGCCAGCCGGGAGAGAAUAAAGGUGUCUGCAGUUCCUACAUCUCCUCGAGUCUCCUUCCAGACUCUUGGCUCGUGCCUUGCCUAGCCUGGGUUCAGCGGGCCGUGUGGACAGCAAGACAGUUGGCCUUGGCGUCAGGAACAGGAUCAGCCAUAAACGAAGUGUAGACCAUACUUUGGUUCCCCCUAAGAAGUGGACCCUUACAAAGAAAUUUUGACAUACAUGAUCUGCUUUUAAGAUUUGAGAAACCCAAAGAGGUAGCAUGGUUAUUACUUCCAUGUUGAUGGAUGGAGAACAUGAAGAAGAUGGAUUUUGAGUACUUGGCCCUAAAUCUCAAUAUUGUUAAGAG